AAAUUGAAGAGUUUGAUCAUGGCUCAGAUUGAACGCUGGCGGCAGGCCUAACACAUGCAAGUCGAGCGGUAGCACAGAGAGCUUGCUCUCGGGUGACGAGCGGCGGACGGGUGAGUAAUGUCUGGGAAACUGCCUGAUGGAGGGGGAUAACUACUGGAAACGGUAGCUAAUACCGCAUAAUGUCGCAAGACCAAAGUGGGGGACCUUCGGGCCUCAUGCCAUCAGAUGUGCCCAGAUGGGAUUAGCUAGUAGGUGGGGUAACGGCUCACCUAGGCGACGAUCCCUAGCUGGUCUGAGAGGAUGACCAGCCACACUGGAACUGAGACACGGUCCAGACUCCUACGGGAGGCAGCAGUGGGGAAUAUUGCACAAUGGGCGCAAGCCUGAUGCAGCCAUGCCGCGUGUGUGAAGAAGGCCUUCGGGUUGUAAAGCACUUUCAGCGGGGAGGAAGGCGAUAAGGUUAAUAACCUUGUCGAUUGACGUUACCCGCAGAAGAAGCACCGGCUAACUCCGUGCCAGCAGCCGCGGUAAUACGGAGGGUGCAAGCGUUAAUCGGAAUUACUGGGCGUAAAGCGCACGCAGGCGGUCUGUCAAGUCGGAUGUGAAAUCCCCGGGCUCAACCUGGGAACUGCAUUCGAAACUGGCAGGCUAGAGUCUUGUAGAGGGGGGUAGAAUUCCAGGUGUAGCGGUGAAAUGCGUAGAGAUCUGGAGGAAUACCGGUGGCGAAGGCGGCCCCCUGGACAAAGACUGACGCUCAGGUGCGAAAGCGUGGGGAGCAAACAGGAUUAGAUACCCUGGUAGUCCACGCCGUAAACGAUGUCGAUUUGGAGGUUGUGCCCUUGAGGCGUGGCUUCCGGAGCUAACGCGUUAAAUCGACCGCCUGGGGAGUACGGCCGCAAGGUUAAAACUCAAAUGAAUUGACGGGGGCCCGCACAAGCGGUGGAGCAUGUGGUUUAAUUCGAUGCAACGCGAAGAACCUUACCUGGUCUUGACAUCCACAGAACUUAGCAGAGAUGCUUUGGUGCCUUCGGGAACUGUGAGACAGGUGCUGCAUGGCUGUCGUCAGCUCGUGUUGUGAAAUGUUGGGUUAAGUCCCGCAACGAGCGCAACCCUUAUCCUUUGUUGCCAGCGGUUAGGCCGGGAACUCAAAGGAGACUGCCAGUGAUAAACUGGAGGAAGGUGGGGAUGACGUCAAGUCAUCAUGGCCCUUACGACCAGGGCUACACACGUGCUACAAUGGCAUAUACAAAGAGAAGCGACCUCGCGAGAGCAAGCGGACCUCAUAAAGUAUGUCGUAGUCCGGAUUGGAGUCUGCAACUCGACUCCAUGAAGUCGGAAUCGCUAGUAAUCGUAGAUCAGAAUGCUACGGUGAAUACGUUCCCGGGCCUUGUACACACCGCCCGUCACACCAUGGGAGUGGGUUGCAAAAGAAGUAGGUAGCUUAACCUUCGGGAGGGCGCUUACCACUUUGUGAUUCAUGACUGGGGUGAAGUCGUAACAAGGUAACCGUAGGGGAACCUGCGGUUGGAUCACCUCCUUA
rnacentral:rRNA from 4 species